GACGAGGGGUCCAAGCGUUGUUCGGAAUCAUUGGGCGUAAAGCGGGUGUAGGUGGCUUUGUAAGUCAGGAGUGAAAUCCCCGAGCUUAACUUGGGAAGUGCUUUUGAAACUGCAGAGCUUGAAUGUGGGAGAGGAUCGUGGAAUUCCAGGUGUAGUGGUGAAAUACGUAGAUAUCUGGAGGAACACCCGUGGCGAAGGCGGCCGGCUGGGCCGGAUCCGACGCUGAGGCGCGAAAGCGUGGGGAGCAAACAGG
rnacentral:rRNA from 1 species